UACGAAGGGGGCUAGCGUUGUUCGGAUUUACUGGGCGUAAAGCGCACGUAGGCGGAUCGAUCAGUCAGGGGUGAAAUCCCAGAGCUCAACUCUGGAACUGCCUUUGAUACUGUCGAUCUGGAGUAUGGAAGAGGUGAGUGGAAUUCCGAGUGUAGAGGUGAAAUUCGUAGAUAUCAGGAGGAACACCGGUGGCGAAGGCGGCUUUCUGGACGACAACUGACGCUGAGACGCGAAAGCGUGGGGAGCAAACAGG
rnacentral:rRNA from 1 species